rnacentral:sRNA from 1 species
AGAAGUCGAUAAGACCAGGAGAAGUGAAGAUGUAACAUGUUAUCUGUCGCUCCUCUUAGCUGGCGGAGAGAAUUUACAUUUAAAGAUUAGCAGAGUGAGAAAGAGAAAUCUGCCUUUUGUUGUGUGGGGUGAGGAGGAGGCAUCUACCCUGGCCUUGACGCUAUCUCCCAUCACCUCUGCUAUCCAGACAGGACUCACCGAGAAAAGAUUGAUCUCUGGGCUGGUGAACAUAAUCUCUGUCCCAGUCAGAAAAGGAGAGAGGAAAUUAGCAGAGCGAUUGGUGGAGAAUGAUAUCUGUCAAAAGAAACACUUGGAGAGCACUGAGUUUAGUAAUAGGUGACUGCCGGAAAAAAGGGAACUUUGAAUAUUGUCAAGAUAAACCCCACUUGAAAAACUGAGGUGCUUAAGGAGUAAAAUAAUAUGUUCCUGGUGGCAUCCUCCAGAUCGUACUGAGAAGCACUCCACAAUGCCAGACUCACCUGUGGAUGUGAAGACGCAAUCUAGGCUGACUCCUCCAACGAUGCCACCUCCCCCAACUACU